rnacentral:rRNA from 1 species
AGGGAUCAUUACUGAGUGAGGGCUCACGCCCGACCUCCAACCCUUUGUGAACCAAACUUGUUGCUUCGGGGGCGACCCUGCCGACGACUCCGUCGCCGGGCGCCCCCGGAGGUCUUCUAAACACUGCAUCUUUGCGUCGGAGUUUAAACAAAUUAAACAAAACUUUCAACAACGGAUCUCUUGGUUCUGGCAUCGAUGAAGAACGCAGCGAAAUGCGAUAAGUAAUGUGAAUUGCAGAAUUCAGUGAAUCAUCGAAUCUUUGAACGCACAUUGCGCCCUUUGGUAUUCCGAAGGGCAUGCCUGUUCGAGCGUCAUUUCACCACUCAAGCCUGGCUUGGUAUUGGGCGUCGCGGUGUUUCCGCGCGCCUUAAAGUCUUCCGGCUGAGCUGUCCGUCUCUAAGCGUUGUGGAUUUUUCAAUUCGCUUCGGAGUGCGGGCGGCCGCGGCCGUUAAAUCUUUAUUCAAAGGUUGACCUCGGAUCAGGUAGGGAUACCCGCUGAACUUAA